UCCUACGGGAGGCAGCAGUAGGGAAUCUUCCGCAAUGGACGAAAGUCUGACGGAGCAACGCCGCGUGAGUGAAGAAGGUUUUCGGAUCGUAAAACUCUGUUGUUAGAGAAGAACGUUAUGUAGAGUGGAAAAUUACACAAGUGACGGUAUCUAACCAGAAAGGGACGGCUAACUACGUGCCAGCAGCCGCGGUAAUACGUAGGUCCCGAGCGUUGUCCGGAUUUAUUGGGCGUAAAGCGAGCGCAGGUGGUUUAAUAAGUCAGAUGUGAAAGUCCACGGCUCAACCGUGGAAGUGCAUUUGAAACUGUCAGGCUUGAGUAUCGGAGGGGAGUGUGGAAUUCCCGGUGUAGAGGUGAAAUUCGUAGAGAUCGGGAGGAACACCGGUGGCGAAGGCGACACUCUGGACGAAUACUGACGCUGAGGCGCGAAAGCGUGGGGAGCAAACAGGAUUAGAUACCCUGGUAGUCCACGCCGUAAACGAUGUGAACUAGGGAUAGGGGGCGUUGAUCCCUCCUGUCCCGGAGCUAACGCAUUAAGUGAACCGCCCGGGGAGUACGGCCGCAAGGCUGAAACUCAAAGGAAUU
rnacentral:rRNA from 1 species